UUUCUCAAAAUAAGCUUAAAAAUAAGAGAGAAAACAAAAUCGUUAUCAAAUGAACCAAUGUAUUAGUCAAUUAUUUGUAUUAGUCAAUUAUUUGUUUUGUGGAGUUGCUUACUUUUAUAAACUGUGGGAAGCUGCAUUUGCUGCCAUAGCAGCUGGUGGGAUAAGGCCAGCCUUUUAGACGUAUUGUUCAUUGAGUCCACAUGCAAUGCAAAAAACUCUUUUCUUUCUUCUUUUGCUUCUAAGCCAUAACAUAUUUGAAAUUGGGACAUUCUCUUCACUUCGUGCCCCCCUCAAGAUAAAGUCAAAGCAUUGAACGUCUUUGGUUGGCUUGGCAUAGUUCAUCCUCUUCGACUCCUUCACAGAGCACCAAGCUAUAUCCAAUAAUUCAAACCCCAUAUGGACUUUUUUAGCUUAUACUUGUAAAAAUCUGGACCAUUUAGGAUAUUAAGUGAAGUUGUGACUUCCGAGGGCUUGCAAACAGUCGAACAGACAAAGACUGGAGUUAACUUCAUUCCACCAAUUUUGUUGACAACUAUGGUAACGCAAUUCGAGUAUCAUCCAUUCCUUAUUUACAAACAUUUUAAACAAUUAUAUCUUCCAACUUCAGUACACCCUUAGCAGAGUAUUGAUAUAAUAGAAUUUGUGUUCCUUCUAUUUCUUUAGGUGUUGGAUGGGUAGCUGAAAACUACUCUAAAGUUCAUAACUUAACCUAAUUUCUUUUUGCAAA